rnacentral:rRNA from 1 species
AUUGAACGCUGGCGGAAUGCUUUACACAUGCAAGUCGAACGGCAGCACGGACUUCGGUCUGGUGGCGAGUGGCGAACGGGUGAGUAAUGUAUCGGAACGUGCCCAGUCGUGGGGGAUAACGUAGUGAAAAUUACGCUAAUACCGCAUACGAUCUAUGGAUGAAAGCGGGGGAUCGCAAGACCUCGCGCGAUUGGAGCGGCCGAUAUCAGAUUAGGUAGUUGGUGGGGUAAAGGCCCACCAAGCCAACGAUCUGUAGGUGGUCUGAGAGGACGACCAGCCACAAUAGAACUGAGACACGGUCCAGACUCCUACGGGAGGCAGCAGUGGGGAAUUUUGGACAAUGGGCGAAAGCCUGAUCCAGCCAUUCCGCGUGCAGGAUGAAGGCCCUCGGGUUGUAAACUGCUUUUGUACAGAACGAAAAGGUUUCUACUAAUACUAGGAGCUCAUGACGGUACUGUAAGAAUAAGCACCGGCUAACUACGUGCCAGCCGCCGCAGUAA